UACGUAGGGGCCGAGCGUUGUCCGGAGUUAUUGGGCGUAAAGCGCGCGCAGGCGGCCUCGCGCGCCCGACGUGAAAGCCCCCCGGCUUAACCGGGGAGGGUCGUUGGGGACGGCGGGGCUUGAGGGCGGGAGAGGUCGGUGGAAUUCUCGGUGUAGAGGUGAAAUUCGUAGAUAUCGAGAGGAACACCGGUGGCGAAGGCGGCCAACUGGACAGAUACUGACGCUGAGACUCGAAAGCGUGGGGAGCAAACAGG
rnacentral:rRNA from 1 species